AUGGAGUCCUUGAGUUUUGUUUUGUGUUUUGAAUGAUUUCAGAUUCCCACACGGCCGUGAGGCAGGUCUCAGCCUCCCUGCAAUGGUGGUUUCAGCCAGCCAGGCUCCCCUGCAGCAUGGUCAGUGAAACGUGCCCAGCUCUGCCUCGUUUCCCAAGCUCAGCUACGCUUCUCCCACCCCAGGACCUGUGUUGGGUCAGGAAACCCAGAGCAGUGAGAGAAGCACCGGCCGGAACGGGGUGUAGCAGACAUUACCAAGGCAAAGUGAGGAAGAGCAGGUGCUGGGAGGCUGGUGUCUCUUGGGCCAUAGUCUGGCCAUAUAGCGAGCGCCUAUUGUCACAUCUGAUGCUGUGUUGGGGAGUGGACUGUGAGGUCUCAGAAUGAGCCAGCCUGGAUGGGCUGGACAGGGGAUCUACAACCUGCCCAGGAAGGAGCAGGAGAGCAGGAACAGGAGAGCAGGGCGCCCUCGGCCUUCUCCCAGCCUGUGGAACUUGCUGCCUGUGAUGCUCAGACGUGGUCUACAUGGGACACCCAGCUUUGCUCUGUGUUCUCCUGCAGGGGCCUGCUUGAAGCCCAGAGACCGAGGUGCUGACCUUGCUUCUCUUUUGUCUUGGUGGAUGGCCAGAUGGAUGGAAGUUAGGGAUUCUGCGCCCCGCCCUGCUCAGCUGCUUCUCUGCCCUCUCCCUGUGGGGAUGGCUCUACCUUCAUUGACACUAUAGAGAAGCCAAAGGGCAGGGACACAACCUGUGGGGCCCACGCAGUUGCCACCCUGAGGCCAGGGGGAAGGCGGAGCCCACCUGACCUCCCAACCCCUUGCCCUCUGGGGACCGUGACCUCUGGAACCUCUAGGCCAAGCUUCUCCUCCUGAGGUUCAGUCUCGUGACAGGGGAACUUGAGCUCUGAGUGCACAGUGGGUCUGGGCAGGUGGGCAGAUUGACCAGAGUCCACAAGUGCGAACAGGAACGGGCUGUGGGGUGAGAGGGGAAGCUAAGUUCUGCCCAUAGUGACCCCGAAUUCAUGAGGGUGUCUGCCAGUGGGCAUGGGGAACUCUAGGAUCCCCAUGGAGACCAAGAGCCUCUAUGCUCCAGUCUCCUCAGUAAAAUGGUGUGACGCCAGUGUCCAUUCUCCCAUGUCCUUUCAAUCACCCCUAGAUCACCUACAACACCCAAGAAAGCUUUAUGUAAAUGAUUGCAUGGUAUCAUUUAUGGGGCUGAUUUCUAGCUGUCAAUGGGGUAGCACUGAGUAGAAUUCUGAAUGCUUUAGAAUUCUCUCUUGCUGUAAUCCCAGUGGCUCAGGAGGCCAAGGCAGGAAGAUUGUGAGUUCAAAGCCAGCCUCAGCAAUUCAGUGAGACCCUGUUUCUAAAAAUAUAUAAAAGGGGCUUGGGAUGUGGCUCAGUGGUUGAGGGCCCCUUACCCCGAGUUCAAUCUCAGGUACAAAAAAAGAAAGAAAUCUGUCAUCAGCUGGUCCCAGCAUGCCACUGACUGUCAUAUAAUAGAAGGGAGUCGGACGUGGGUCAGGACGCGUCCUGGGCCUGCUGCCCCUCUGUCUGCAUGUUGCUACAGCGAGACUCAUCCUUUUCUGGGCUUUAGUCCCCCCCGCAGCUGUAAAAGCUGAAAGAAUCAAUUCCUCCACACUCUGCACCCAAGGAGCCUGGCGAAGGGUCCGUGCCAUGUGAAUUAAUCAGUUUGGAAAGUAGAGUGCGUCUUAAAGGUGAUCAUCGUAAUCGGCUGGUUCCCCCAAAAGAUCUCUGUAAGAAACACAUUCAGGGCCGGGGCUGUGGCUCAGCGGCAGAGCGCUUGCCUUGCACAUGUGAGGCACUGGGUUGGAUCCUCAGCGCCACAUAAAAAAUAAGUAAAUAAAAUAAAGGUAUUUUAAAAACACAGUUCAAUGUUCAGCUUAAUGAAGUCCAUUAACUAAUCUUCUAGCCUCCUUCUGUCUCCUUCUCUUGCCUCGGUUCUUCUUGAACUUGCUUCCUUAUUGAGUGAUCCUUGGGACACAGAGACUUGGCAAUUUCACCUUGGAAGUGCUUUGAUUGACUAAGGGGAAGGUUCUUAAGCGAGAUAUCUAAUAUAAUUAGCUUCCCUUGUAACCCUACUGACUGUACUGCAUGGGCCUAGAAAACCAUUAUCAGAAUGACCCAUAGCCUUCUCAAGGUGGCCAGAGAGUCUGUGGCAAACAGUAAGUUAAUUAAAUACUCAUAAAAUAAACCAGAAUGGAGGGCUCCAGAAGGCUGAACAAAGUGAUUUCCCCCUUAUCUGUGCAGAAGAGGGCAGGUUUCCUGCAGAGGUGGUGUGUUUGGUCCGUGGUACCAGAGGUUCUGCUCCAGGGCUACUGGGCCCCGUCCCUCAGGGGCUCCAUGCGGCUGAGCAUUACAGGCAGAAGCCGUGGUGGAGCAAAGCUCCUCACAUGGUGGCCUAGGAGUAGGGAUGGGGUGGGGUGACCACAAGGUGUCCUUCCAGGGCACAGCCCCCAUAGCCUAACUUCCUCCCACGAGGCCACACCUGAAGUAGUGCCACCUCCCAGUGGCACCAUUCCCCCAGGACCAAGUCUCCAACACACAAACUUUGGGAGAUAUUUAAGAUCCAAACCAGAAGAGGCAUUGGAAGCCACAUCCUCUCUGGCCUCUCCUUGCAAAAUGCAAGGGAAAAACAGAAUACGUGCUUUAUUCUUCUGAAUAAAUACAUGAAAUCAGCUGAAAUAUAUCAGCCAUGUAGUUUCAGUUGACUUUCUUUCAUAAAAUGUGUUAUCCAUUUCCCACUCCCUUCUUUGUAUUUUAAUUUCUUAAUUUAAGUUUUUAAAGUUAUUUUUUAGCUUUUGGUACUGGUGGUUGAACUGGGGUAUGCUUUACCACUGAGGCCCUUUUUUUUAAAAAAAAUUGAGACAGGGUCUUGCUAAGUUGCUAAGGCUGACCUUAAACUUGCAAUCCUACAGCCUCAGCCUCCCCAACCGCUGGGAUUAAAGACGUGCACCACGGUGUCUGGCUUUCGUCUAGUUUUGACCUUUCUGUUUACUAUCUAGAAAUUUUCUCUUUCAAGUGGGAGUCAU
ensembl:lincRNA